rnacentral:rRNA from 1 species
UACGUAGGGUGCGAGCGUUGUCCGGAAUUAUUGGGCGUAAAGGGCUCGUAGGCGGUUUGUCGCGUCGGGAGUGAAAUCCACUGGCUUAACUGGUGGCUUGCUUUCGAUACGGGCAGACUGGAGGUAUGCAGGGGAGAACGGGAAUUCCUGGUGUAGCGGUGAAAUGCGCAGAUAUCAGGAGGAACAGCCGGUGGCGAAGGCGGUUCUCUGGGCAUGUCCUGACGCUGAGGAGCGAAAGUGUGGGGAGCGAACAGG